UUGAAACAUCGCUGGCGGCGUGCCUAACACAUGCAAGUCGAACGGAAUUGAGGGGCUUCGCUCCUCAAUUUAGUGGCGCACGGGUGAGUAACGCGUGGAUAAUCUACCUGAAGAUCCGGGAUAACAUUUCGAAAGGGGUGCUAAUACCGGAUAAGCCCACGGGGACUUUGGUUCUUGCGGGAAAAGAGGGGGACCUUCGGGCCUCUUGUCAUCAGAUGAGUCCGCGUACCAUUAGCUAGUUGGUGGGGUAAAGGCCCACCAAGGCGACGAUGGUUAGCUGGUCUGAGAGGAUGAUCAGCCACACUGGAACUGAGACACGGUCCAGACUCCUACGGGAGGCAGCAGUGGGGAAUUUUGCGCAAUGGGGGAAACCCUGACGCAGCAACGCCGCGUGAGUGAUGAAGGCCUUCGGGUCGUAAAGCUCUGUCUAGAGGAAAGAAAUGUAUGGGGGCUUAAUACCCUUUGUACUUGACGGUACCUCUGAAGGAAGCACCGGCUAACUCCGUGCCAGCAGCCGCGGUAAUACGGAGGGUGCGAGCGUUGUUCGGAAUUAUUGGGCGUAAAGCGCGUGUAGGCGGUUUCUUAAGUCUGAUGUGAAAGCCCCGGGCUCAACCUGGGAAGUGCAUUGGAUACUGGGAGACUUGAAUACGGGAGAGGGCAGUGGAAUUCCUAGUGUAGGAGUGAAAUCCGUAGAUAUUAGGAGGAACACCGGUGGCGAAGGCGGCUGCCUGGACCGAUAUUGACGCUGAGACGCGAAAGCGUGAGGAGCAAACAGGAUUAGAUACCCUGGUGUCGGCGCUCAAAGUCCCGGANU
rnacentral:rRNA from 1 species